rnacentral:lncRNA from 1 species
UAACGGCUCCUGUUGAGACCACAACCUCAGUACCUACAACUGAGAACAUAGGAACUGCGAGUACACCUGCACACACCUGCACCCGCAGAACCCACGGUCACAGCAACAACAUCAGUCUCACCACCGGCGCAGCCUCAGCCAGCUCCACCUCGUCCGGUCAGACAGAGCACACGCAACCGGAAACCUGUCUAGAAAUUAAACCUCCACACUAAAGUUGUUCAGACCACAGAAACGCCACCAAC